UACGGGGGAAGCAAGCGUUGUUCGGAUUUACUGGGCGUAAAGGGCGCGUAGGCGGUCAGCACAAGUCAGUUGUGAAAUCUCCGGGCUUAACUCGGAAAGGUCAACUGAUACUGUGCGACUAGAGUGCGGAAGGGGCAACUGGAAUUCUCGGUGUAGCGGUGAAAUGCGUAGAUAUCGAGAGGAACACCUGCGGCGAAGGCGGGUUGCUGGGCCGACACUGACGCUGAUGCGCGAAAGCCAGGGGAGCGAACGGG
rnacentral:rRNA from 1 species